AUUGAACGCUGGCGGUAUGCUUUACACAUGCAAGUCGAACGGUAGAGGGGCAACCCUUGAGAGUGGCGAACGGGUGAGUAAUACAUCGGAACGUGCCCAGUCGUGGGGGAUAACGUAGCGAAAGCUACGCUAAUACCGCAUACGACCUGAGGGUGAAAGCGGGGGACCUGCAAGGGCCUCGCGCGAUUGGAGCGGCCGAUGGCAGAUUAGGUAGUUGGUGAGGUAAAGGCUCAACAAGCCGACGAUCUGUAGCCGGUCUGAGAGGACGACCAGCCACACUGGGACUGAGACACGGCCCAGACUCCUACGGGAGGCAGCAGUGGGGAAUUUUGGACAAUGGGAGCAAGCCUGAUCCAGCCAUACCGCGUGCAGGAAGAAGGCCUUCGGGUUGUAAACUGCUUUUGUCAGGGAAGAAAUCUUCUGGGCUAAUACCCUGGGAGGAUGACGGUACCUGAAGAAUAAGCACCGGCUAACUACGUGCCAGCCGCCGCAGUAACAC
rnacentral:rRNA from 1 species